rnacentral:misc_RNA from 1 species
GAUGAAGAACGCAGUGAAAUGCGAUAAGUAAUGUGAAUUGCAGAAUUCAGUGAAUCAUCGAAUCUUUGAACGCACCUUGCACCCUUUGGUAUUCCGAAGGGUAUGCUCGUUUGAGUGUCAUUGUACCCUCACACUUCUAAUUCCUUUCGGGAUUGGGAGCGGUGGACUUGGGUGUUGCUGCUUUAGUUGUGGCUCACCUCAAAUAAGUUAGUGCAACUCUUGGUUGGACAUAGUACGGCGUGAUAAGUGUCUUCGCCGGCGCCUCUGUAAGGAGGGUGGCCGAUCGGGAGCUCUGUGCUUCAAACCGUCUUCGGACAAUCUUUGACAACUUGACCUCAAAUCGAGUAGGACUACCCGCUGAACUUAAGCAUAUCAAUAAGCGGAGGA